UACGGAGGGGGCUAGCGUUGCUCGGAAUCACUGGGCGUAAAGGGCACGUAGGCGGCGCCGUAAGUCGGGUGUGAAAUCCCCGGGCUCAACCCGGGGGCUGCGCCCGAGACUGCGGGGCUGGAGGACGGGAGAGGCUCGCGGAAUUCCCAGUGUAGAGGUGAAAUUCGUAGAUAUUGGGAAGAACACCGGUGGCGAAGGCGGCGAGCUGGCCCGUUUCUGACGCUGAGGCGCGAAAGCGUGGGGAGCAAACAGG
rnacentral:rRNA from 1 species